GAUGAACGCUAGCGGCAGGCCUAACACAUGCAAGUCGAGGGGCAUCAUGGCGUAGCAAUACGCUGAUGGCGACCGGCGCACGGGUGCGUAACGCGUAUGGAACCUACCCACCGCAGGGGGAUAACCCGCCGAAAGGCGGACUAAUACCCCAUGGUUCCCCGACCCUGCCUGGGGUUGGGGGUAAAGCCUACGGGCGGCGGUGGAUGGCCCUGCGUGCCAUUAGCUGGCUGGUGGGGUAACGGCCCACCAGGGCGACGAUGGCUAGGGGGUCUGAGAGGACGAUCCCCCACACUGGUACUGAGACACGGACCAGACUCCUACGGGAGGCAGCAGUGAGGAAUAUUGGUCAAUGGGCGCAAGCCUGAACCAGCCAUCCCGCGUGCAGGAAGACGGCCCUAUGGGUUGUAAACUGCUUUUCCAGGGAGAGAAACUUACGCACGUGUUGCGUGACUGACGGUACCCUGGGAAUAAGCAUCGGCUAACUCCGUGCCAGCAGCCGCGGUAAU
rnacentral:rRNA from 1 species